rnacentral:lncRNA from 10 species
CUCUUUGAAGCCUCUAGUGUAUUGUAGGGUCUGCGUAAAGCACAAGGGAUAGAUGAUUAAAAGUCUCGCCCUUAAGUUCCUCAUCCUGUUGUCGUGAAAAAUGAUCUCAGUAAAUAUGCUGAUAUGCAUUUUAUGUGGGAUCUGAGGGGCACUCUCGGGAAUGGGGAUAAAGGCAGUAAAGGAAAGGUAGAUGCUUUAUUCAUGCUGACAAAACUGUACAUUUGUAAAUAAAUAGGGCUUUUGUCCAGUUCAUAAUGUAUAUUACCGGUAGAAAUACCAUAAACGAAAAUUGACCAUGGCUAACACAUCACACAAAACUUUUUAGUGACCAGAGUGAUACAAAAACUUUGAUGAAAUCUAGAUCUGCAAAAUUUAACACAGGAGAAUUAGCUAUGGUAGAAGUAAUAGCAACCAAAGGCAAUUCAGAAGGCAGAGCUAUAAUUAAUAAAAUAUGACAUGAUUAAAUCUAUUUAAAUUGAAUAUUUUCUUUAAAAUUUCGGUGAAAACAAAAUGAAAGAAAAUUGGAGCACUCCAAAUGAGUAAUAAAGUUGAUCAAGGAAUAAAACUGACCUAAUGGAGUUUUCGUUCUCGACCCUAGUUAUUCAAUAUUGGCAUUUAAAAACCUUUUAUCAGAACAUCUCUAGAAUCAGUAACAUCGAAACGCACUGAGCUGCCUUAGGGCCUCAUAAAGAGGUAAGCUUGAGAAGCUGUUUUCCAAUAGAUAUAACCAAACAUAACUGUAGUGGGAAAAACACUAGUAUGAAAGGGACCUGGAAUCAGUGGUUUUCUUGGUACUUGAUAGGUUUUCCAUUCCUAACACUCCUCUGAAAAUAGGGGAAAAAUUUACCUCACAGGGUCAUAUUAUCUCAUUAAUUCUCAAAGUUUCUAAGCUCAGAAUCAGAAAGAUACAAUGAAAAGUUGUGUGUAAACUUCAGAACUUUUUCACUUUAACCUCUACGCAUGGGAAUCUAAAUGUCAUAUACUUCUUUGUCCCCUUAAAAUGUUUUCCUAAACAAAGUAUACCCUUUUCUUGAUGCGCCAGGGUCAUCAUUAUGACCAACUGUGACAUUAUGCACUAGCAAUGCUGGACCCCCCCAAGGGUAUGAGGCAGAGUCAGAUGGUGCUGGUGCUGGUGUUUGAACAUAAUUAAGUCCAGCGGCCUCAUUUCUUACAGUGCCUUUUCAUUACUGGAGCUGAGAAGCCAUAAUCGAGAUGGGUAGAAUUAUAUAUAAAUGUACAAAUGUAUAAAAGAGUGUCUCUCCCUUUAAGUUUUAGGGUAUUGACUUAGUGACAUCUUUUCAUACAAUUAGUACUUUGGCCAUGGUAUAUUUGAGGGGAUUAGUGAAUAGGAUGAAGAUGAAACAAGGUUCACUACAUGCUGCAGAUAAUUGUCAAAGCAGUGACAGGUAUGGGGUGAAGGGUAGGGAGGUGGGGUAAUUAUACUACUCUACUUUUUGUUAUGGAAAUUUCAAGCAUAUAUGAAAUUUAAAACAAACACACACACAAAAUUAUGUCCCAAAUGAAGAGGCAUUGGGUUCUGGUUUGGGGUCAAAUUUGCUGUGACUCAGGGAUUCACUUAAAUUUCAUUAAGCCUUUUGUUUUCUCAUCUGUAAAAUGAGGACUUAAUGAUUGUAAAUACUGAAGUAUUUCUAAGCAUCUGGGCAACUGACUACAUUUAAUAUCAUGCAGAUUUUUUAAUCAUUUGCUUUUUAGAUAAAGAUUGAAUCAAUGGUUUUUCUGAAAUUUCAUAAUCUGUUUUCCAUGAGUAUAGUUCAGACUUAGGAUAAAACCUUAUUUCUAAGUUUCAGCAAAAUGUUCUUAUAUGUUUACAAAUAAAUAUCAAAAUAGUGUUUUCUAAUGGUUACUUCCAACAUUUCUUCUAAUACUGUCCACUUACAAAUAUUUAAUUUGCUUACUUUAAAACUAAAUUCAUUAAUAUACCUAGUUUUAAAUUAAGGCAAAAUAGAUUGCUUUCUAGAAACUUUAAUAAUUCAAAACACUGAGUACAAUAUUGUAUUUCAUACCAUAUAGCACAAAGAU